rnacentral:rRNA from 1 species
GACGACGCUGGCGGCGUGGAUUAGGCAUGCAAGUCGAACGGUAUCAUCCUUUCGGGGAUGAGAGAGUGGCGAACGGGUGAGUAACACGUAGGUGAUCUACCCUCAAGGACGGGGACAACCCAGGGAAACUUGGGCUAAUACCGGAUGUGAGCUAUCGCGAGAUAGUUUGAAAGGUGGCUUCGGCUGCCGCUUGGGGAUGAGCCUGCGUCCUAUUAGCUAGUUGGUGAGGUAACGGCUCACCGAGGCAGUGAUAGGUAGGCGGCCUUAACGGGUGGUCGCCCACACUGGGAUUGAGAUACGGCCCAGACUCCUACGGGAGGCAGCAGUCGAGAAUAGUCUACAAUGGUCGAAAGACUGAUAGUGCGACGCCGCGUGAACGAAGAAGCCCUUCGGGGUGUAAAGUUCUUUUAUAUGUGAGCAGUGACAUCUAUAUUAAUAGUAUGGGUGUAGAGAUAUUAGCAUAUGAAUAAGCAACGGCUAACUCCGUG